CAAUGACGGGUAGCGGGUUUGAGAGGAUGAUCCGCCACACUGGUACUGAGACACGGACCAGACUCCUACGGGAGGCAGCGGUGAGGAAUAUUGCACAAUGGAGGAAACUCUGAUGCAGCAACGCCGCGUGGAGGAUGACGCAUUUCGGUGUGUAAACUCCUUUUAUAUGUCAAGAAAAUGACGGUAGCAUAUGAAUAAGCACCGGCUAACUCCGUGCCAGCAGCCGCGGUAAUACGGAGGGUGCAAGCGUUACUCGGAAUCACUGGGCGUAAAGGACGCGUAGGCGGGUUGUCAAGUCUGAUGUGAAAUCCUAUGGCUUAACCAUAGAACUGCAUUGGAAACUGGCAACCUAGAGUAUGGGAGGGGGAGAUGGAGUUAGUGGUGUAGGGGUAAAAUCCGUAGAUAUCACUAGGAAUACCUAAAGCGAAGGCGAUCUCCUGGAACAUAACUGACGCUAAGGCGUGAAAGCGUGGGGAGCAAACGGGAUUAGAUACCCCGGUAGUCCACGCCCUAAACGAUGAACACUAGUCGUCGGGAAGCUUGUCUUCUCGGUGAUGCACUUAACAGAUUAAGUGUUCCGCCUGGGGAGUACGGUCGCAAGAUUAAAACUCAAAGGAAUAGACGGGGACCCGCACAAGUGGUGGAGCAUGUGGUUUAAUUCGACUAUACGCGAAGAACCUUACCUGGCCUUGACAUUGAUAGAACACCCUAGAGAUAGAGUGGUGCCCUUCGGGGAGCUUGAAAACAGGUGCUGCACGGCUGUCGUCAGCUCGUGUCGUGAGAUGUUGGGUUAAGUCCCGCAACGAGCGCAACCCUCGUCCUUAGUUGCCAGCAGUUCGGCUGGGCACUCUAAGGAGACUGCCUUCGUAAGGAGGAGGAAGGUGAGGACGACGUCAAGUCAUCAUGGCCCUUACGGCCAGGGCUACACACGUGCUACAAUGGGGCGUACAGAGGGUUGCGAUACCGCGAGGUGGAGCUAAUCUCUUAAAGCGUCUCUCAGUUCGGAUUGCUCUCUGCAACUCGAGAGCAUGAAGCUGGAAUCACUAGUAAUCGUAGAUCAGCAAUGCUACGGUGAAUACGUUCCCGGGUCUUGUACUCACCGCCCGUCACACCAUGGGAGUUGAUUUCGCCCGAAAUCGGAAUGCCAAACUGGCUACCGCUUACGGCGGAAUUAGCGACUGGGGUGAAGUCGUAACAAGGUAACCGUAGGAGAACCUGCGGUUG
rnacentral:rRNA from 1 species